UACGAAGGGGGCUAGCGUUGCUCGGAAUUACUGGGCGUAAAGCGCACGUAGGCGGCUUUCUAAGUCGGGGGUGAAAUCCUGGAGCUCAACUCCAGAACUGCCUUCGAUACUGGAAAGCUCGAGUCCGGGAGAGGUGAGUGGAACUGCGAGUGUAGAGGUGAAAUUCGUAGAUAUUCGCAAGAACACCGGUGGCGAAGGCGGCUCACUGGCCCGGUACUGACGCUGAGGUGCGAAAGCGUGGGGAGCGAACAGG
rnacentral:rRNA from 1 species